ACUACCUCCUCUCUCCUCUCAUCUCUCUUAUUUUCUCUCAACUUUCUCUCAAAACAAACACCUUGGCCCAACCAUUCUCUCCCAUUUUCACCCAUCUACACUUGUUAUCUUCUCAUGAAAUUUGGGUUUGUUAUUAUCCUCAAGAAGAUCUUUAAGUCGAUGUAAAUUUUGUUGUAAGAUUCCAAGCAAAUCAAGAGUUGAAUCCUCCAAAAAGUAAAGGAAAGGAAGUUUUGGAGGCUUGAUUUGUUAAGGGUUGAGAGGCUUGUUCUGAUCGUGGUGUCCAGCUAAGGUAGAGACAUGGAUAGCUGAGUUGUAGGGUGCACUGAGCUCAAGGAUGAUCUUGAAGACACCUAAUGAUAAAUUUAGACUUCUAUGGUCUGUACUUUGUCUUUAUUUCAUAGGAACUUUGAGAAUAAUUUGACACAUUGAAUGAGGAGUUCAUUGUUAUUUUGGAUAGGAGGUCAGUUAUAGUUCCAGCGCAUGACUCAAUUGCAGCGCCUACUCCAAACACGAGUUAGGAUCCUAGUGACCCUCCUGUCGACACUGUUUCCCCUAAUACAGACACAUUGGCCACUCAACGACAUAUAUUUGAUUUUGGACCGUUUUAGACUUAUUCUCUUAUAUAUACAAUUGUUUAUGACUUUUUCUUUAUGUAUUGAGUCAUAUACCAUUAUUCGAUAA